rnacentral:rRNA from 1 species
UUUUUAUAUCUUGUUAAUUUUAAAGGGGUAAUAUUAAUUAUAUGAAAAAGAUUUUUAAAAAAAUAUUUAAAGUAAUUAUAAAUGAAAUGUUUUUGUAACUAGAGUAAAAAGUACUGUAAAGGAAAGAAAAAUUUAAAUAAUAAAUAAAGUAGAGAUAUAGUUUUGUACCUUGUGUAUCAGGGAGAGUUCACAUGAAUUAAAAAGUUAAGGGUCUCGAAAUAAAAAUAGCUAAUUUUAUAAUAGAGUUUUUGUGGGAUAUAAAUUUUUAAUAUGAAAUUAAAGAUGAGAUGUUAGACGAGUUUUAUUAUAUCUAGUUUUCUAAAAUAUAAAUAUAAUUUAGGUUUUGCAGGAAAAGGAUGCAAAAAUAAAGAGUAGGAGGGAUAAGCUUCUUAUUAAGAAAUUUAAUAAUUAAAUAAUUUCAAGGUAAUUAAACUAAACUUAAGAGUAGCUAUGUUAAUAAAGUGUUUUAACUAAGAUUUAUAGUGAUUAUUCUAAAUUUUAAAAAGUAUUAGAAAAUUGUUUGAAACAAAAUAAAGAAAGAUAAAAUGAUUUUAUUAGUAGAAUAAGAUUAAAAAAAUGAAAAUAAAAUAAUAUAGAAAUUGUUUUAAAAGUAAAGAUAAUUACAGAGGAAUUCAGCAAUUUUUUUCUUUGCCUGUUUAUCAAAAACAUGUCUGUCUGGGGUUAUAGAAAGUCUAACCUGCCCACUGAGAUAUUAAAGGGCCGCGGUAUUAUGACCGUGCAAAGGUAGCAUAAUCAUUAGGUUUUUAAAUGGGAUCUUGAAUGAAUGGUUGGACAAAAGAGGAACUGUCUUUGUAUUAGUAAUGAAUUUAACUUUUAAGUGAGAAGGCUUAAAUAAACUAGAGGGACGAUAAGACCCUAUAAAACUUUACAUAAUAGUUAAAUUUUAAAGAAUUUAAAUAAUAAAAUUUUAUUUAGUUAUUUUGUUUUGUUGGGGCGACAGAAGUAAAAUUUUUUUUAUAACUGCUUAAAUGUAAAACGAUUAGUAAUUGAAAAUAAAAAAGAUCCUUAAUAAUGAUUUAAAGAUUAAGUUACUUUAGGGAUAACAGUGUAAUUUUUUUUGAGAGUCCAUAUUGAAAAAAGAGUUUGCAACCUCGAUGUUGAAUUAAAGUAUCUGUAUAAUGUAGCUGUUAUAUAAGAAGGUCUGUUCGACCUUU